rnacentral:piRNA from 1 species
UCUUCUAAAUUUUCUAUUUGACAAGCAGGGU